rnacentral:piRNA from 1 species
UAGUAAAUUCCUUGCUGUAGUGUU